rnacentral:rRNA from 1 species
GACGAACGCUGGCGGCGUGCUUAACACAUGCAAGUCGAACGAAGUGUCGAACGGGUGAGUAACGCGUAAUCAACCUGCCCUUCAGAGGGGGACAACAGUUGGAAACGACUGCUAAUACCGCAUACUGAAGGUGGGGAUUGCUUCUGAUUAGCUAGUUGGAGGGGUAACGGCCGACCAGGGCGAUGAGCAGUAGCCGGUCUGAGAGGAUGAACGGCAGCAUUGGGACUGAGACACGGCCCAGACUCCUACGGGAGGCAGCAGUGGGUAGUCUUCCGCAAGGGACGAAAGUCUGACGGAGCAACGCAGCGUGAUUGAUGACGGCCUUCGGGUUGUAGAGCUCUGUUAAUCGGGACGCGGUACCGGAAUAGAAAGCCACGGCUAACUACGUGCCAGCAGCCGCGGUAAUUC